AAUUUUUCCUUUCUUUUUUAUUUUGCACUUGUGGUGUUUAAUUUAGGUGCCUUUCUGACCGGCUCGAAGGACCAUUUGUUCACUGCACUUACUUUCCCUGGGUAUACUUACUUGCAACUUGCAACAUGGAAUUACGUAUCCCUUUGGUGUUAGCGCGUAAUUUAAAGAAGUGUAUUUAAAAGGGUAAAAUUCAAGCACUAUUGUAUUUUCUUUUUCGGGGUUUCAAUUAUAUAUAUACAUAUCGCACCCUAAAUAUAAAAGGGUCACAACUCAAAAUUUUCCAAAAAUGAGUUUUUUGCAUAAAUUAAUUCAGAGUACACAUCUCUAACUACUGCAAAAAUUUCGUUCACAUAACUGUCUUCGUUAACUGGAAAAAUACAGUUAUGUCUAUUUUUAUGUCAAGUGUGUUGCUUUUGCACGAUCAACUAAAGAGAAUUAUUUUUAGUUGCGUUAAUGUGCUCAAACCCAGCUGAUUACUUUUAUUACACAUAAAGAGUUUUAUUUUGAGUUCUGCCUCUAUAACUGUAAAAAAUGAUAAAUUUCGUGGUAUAUUAUUUUGCAUUGUGCCUCUUUAGUUGUGAAAAGUGAGUUCAGUUAACAGUAUUAUUUAUUUAUGUGCCUUCUUUGAUGAAAUAAUCGUGAGCGUCUUGUGACCCCUUUGAUGAAAAUGUCUUGCCCAAACCUUGGACAUUACUCAAACACAAUGGAAACAGAUUGUAGUGUGCCUUGUCACAAUGAUGAUAGUAGCACUAAUGCAUUUAGUGACUCAGGGAGUGAAUUUUGUGUGUCCGGAAAAAGCACCACCCCAGAAGAAUACUCAGAAGAAGAAGAAGAAGAAGAUAUAAAAAGAUUAAGUAGGAAGAGAACACUUUCUAGAUAUACAUAUCAAAAUAAGAAACAACAGAAACAAAAAUCUUUAAGAAACUCUGGAGCCUCUUAUACAUCACUUUCCAAGUCGAAAAAAGAAGUAAAUGCCAGGUGUAUAAGGCCACCCUGCGGAGCAAAAUGCCGACUUCGAUGCAAUGAAUUAAUUUCCGAAUCGAUGCGCCUUGAAAUAUUUAAAAAAUAUUGGGGUUGCAGUGACUUGCAAAGACAGAGAGAGUUUAUAGAUUUUUUGAAGAUUUUCUUUUUUAAUAUAGUGAACUAUUUUGAUUUCUACUUUGUGCUACUUUGAUACAUAUGUGUUAUUGAAAUGAAUAAAGCUUUAUUUCAAAAUAGAAAUAUUUAAAUAAAAACAUACAUUUCCUCA